rnacentral:rRNA from 1 species
GGGCGCCUACGGGAGGCAGCAGUAGGGAAUCUUCCACAAUGGGCGAAAGCCUGACGGCUCAACUCCGCGUGGGUGAAGAAGGUCUUCGGAUCGUAAAACCCUGUUGUUAGAGAAGAAAGUGCGUGAGAGUAACUGUUCACGUUUCGACGGUAUCUAACCAGAAAGCCACGGCUAACUACGUGCCAGCAGCCGCGGUAAUACGUAGGUGGCAAGCGUUAUCCGGAUUUAUUAGGCGUAAAGGGAACGCAGGCGGAC